rnacentral:rRNA from 1 species
UACGGAGGGGGCUAGCGUUGUUCGGAAUUACUGGGCGUAAAGCGUACGUAGGCGGCUUUGUAAGUUAGAGGUGAAAGCCCGGAGCUCAACUCCGGAAUUGCCUUUAAGGCUGCAUCGCUUGAAUCGUGGAGAGGUUAGUGGAAUUCCGAGUGUAGAGGUGAAAUUCGUAGAUAUUCGGAAGAACACCAGUGGCGAAGGCGACUAACUGGACACGUAUUGACGCUGAGGUACGAAAGCGUGGGGAGCAAACAGG